rnacentral:lncRNA from 1 species
AAUGGUAUUGCCUACGACUACGUAACAAAAUAACAAAAUAACAAUAAAACUAUACUAAAUUGGCCCUACGGCUACGUAUAAAUAACAGUUUUAAUUUUAACUAGUAAAGCCCAAAGGGGUUAUUUACAGUAAUAAAUUGUCUUUUCUUAUUGCAAAAGCUUCGGAGACGAACCAUGCAAUUUUUUUGCAUACAAAAGGAUCAACAUUGUUAAAUAGGAAUAAAACUUUUUCGAUCCGUAGUAUUCAUUUUUCUGAAGUUUUGAUAUCGAUUGUUCAUAUCAUUGUAUAGAGUAGUUCUAAUUUGGUUAUACAAUAUACAAUGGAAUAAAAAAUGUGUUUCAUUUUCUAUGUAUUGUGACCCACAGUGGUCACAUGUUCUUAGAUUUUCUGGUAUUUUGGGACAGCUAUGUCUUCCUGUCUCAAUUUUAAAACUAUUAUGGUUUCCCAUUCGAAGCUUCGCUGUGGCUUUACGGUGAUUUUCAUUUUUUAUCAACUCCAAAAAUGAGGAACAUUUGGUAUCGUAUUUGAAAGUUGAAUAAAAAACAAGUUUUCUAUUUGACUUCAGAAGAUGAAUUUGAUGUAAUUGGGAUUGAUGUUCUAUAUUUUGUUUAAUUUCGAAUAACCAUUUAUUGUAAUUAUCUUUGUUACUAGUAUCUAUGUUUUGUUGAUUCUGUGUUUGAAAUAAGCGUGUGAUUUCGUUUACGGAUGAAAUGAAAGAAGGUUUAGUACUAGAUAACGCUAUUUGUUUAGAAAUCUGAAGACAUUGGAAAGCAAUACUA